AUGGAAAGAACAGCAUCAACCCUAAAAGCAAAGGAACAAACAGCUCCAGUGUCUGCUGCUACAGCAGAAGUAGGUCCUGUUUACAUCAGGGAAAGAUCUGAAGAUUACAGCAGGAGUUUACCACAGCUGUCCCAAAAGCUCUCAUCUGACUUGAGUCCAAGAUGGAUCUUGGAUGCUGCAAUGCUCUCAUGUCAGGAUACCGCAAAAGAGGUUGUUGCAUCUUCUAACUGUAGAGUUGGUGAAGUUUCCCUGUGUGCAGGGAAUACAACAUUUAUGGACAGGAAACUGGUUUCUUUGCUUUGCUGUUUUGUUGUUGCUGUUGUUUUCAAAGGGGCUAACACUCUUAGUUCCAGGAAACUGAAACUGUGGGUGAACUGGGAUUGGAGAAGGAGGCAGAGAGAAUCCCAUACAAGAUUCAAAUGUGUCUCAUUUCUGGGAAAACUACAUAAAGCAAGAUUCCAUCACCAAUGGCUAAAUAGCAGCAAUCUAUGAGCUGUUCAUCAAAAGCCCCAGACAAGCACCGAGUCCUGUGGGAAGCUGGAAAAAGACUCCAUUGUUGAAACUUAUUUUAAACCUUUUUUUCAAGUGAAGGAUCCAGUCCUGGCAAAUGGUUAAGGUCAGCCCUUAGAAGAGCAAAUCACUUUCUCUAGGGAAUCAACAAGUGGCCAAAGUCUGUCCAUUUGACUCCUUGUCUUUCGGCAUUGGAUUACUGAGCUAUUUAAAACUGUAUUUUCAUAACUCAGAUAAAUGGUAGAUGUUUCACAUAUCUCUACAAGUAGUAAUCAUCCUGUUGGUGCAUAUGAUAUCUAAGGGAUGGGCCCAAACUAGAGGUAUUUCUCAUUUACCUAUGAAGUGUCUUGCUUUAGCAUAUGUACAGUCAACUCUUGUUGUGAACGUGUGAGUCCGUUGCCUGCUCUAAAGGAGGUAGUGACUUAGUUUCAGUGGCUGUAGAGAGUUUCACUGAAGUAGCACUGUUUGUAGUCUUUCCUGUGAUUUAGAAGGCACAAUAGCCAGCUAGUUCUGAAAAUGUAAUAUAAUUGUAUGCAGUGUUCCCAGAAAAUGCUCUGAAGUCAUCCCCCAUUGCUCCGUUGUGAUAAAAACCUGUGUUGCUUUUCAAGCUCCACAAGUCCAUGCUGUGCUGUGCUGAAACUAAUGGAAAACCCAAUUAGCCCUGAAAAGUAAAGCGCAGAGAGGGAUGCUCUGGCCUGGAAUCCCCUCCCUUCGGCAGCAGCAAAGGUCAGGUGUGCAGGCCAACGUCCAUGGCCAAAGGUGAAUCCACCCUAUGUGUGUUGGCAGCUCUGUGCAUAGGAGAGUGGGAGGAUGGGUAGAAAGAAUUGAUUCUGGGAGGGGAGAGACUGAGAGGAAGAAUAGAGGAUACCCUGAGCAUGACGGCUGGGAUUUUCAGAAGGUACUCUGAUGGAUGCUGGGCACCCAGCUUCCCUAGGACUCUUUAUCAAUAACACUCUCCACAUUUUUUUGAGUGACUUUUAGCCUGUCUGGCAGUCCUCACAGUCAAUGUGUGAGGAAAAGGAGGUAGAAGGCAGCUCACUCUAAUUUGGCAGCUCUUCACACCUCUACCAGGCUAGGACCGUAAUACCUCCUUAUGGUUGCCGGCUGAGGGUGUGAUCCUCUGAUGACCUGUGUCUUUCUGACUUCAAACAGGCUUAUAGGACUGGGCUUAAAGGUGACAGAUCCAAAGAUAUUUUUGGAGCAGGUCUGCUCAAUAGUCCUGAGUGUGGUUGUGAGCCCGCAGUUCUUAGGAGGCAACAUUCCCUCCACGUUCCUAUUGUUUGGGUGCAAACAAAACAGAGACCUACUCUACAUCUUAGUGCAGGCUAGCUUGCAGUGUAGGACUUCUCUGAGUUCCUGUGUCUCCUGAUCUGUGAGGCAAGGCCAUGUGGCUGACUACGGGUUACCAGAGCUACCAUGGGCCCUUCUUGCAAGGGCAGUUGUCUUCAGAGUCAAGUGAAGUGCAGGCUGCCUUUAGAAAGAUGUGAAUAUGAUGCAGAAGUCUAUAGGUACCCUUCAGACACAGGGCACACAGGUCAGACUUUAGACCAUGCUGUGUGCCAGCACAAACAGCAGGAAUGUUAGUUACAGGAUCACUUUGCUUUUGCUUGUGAAACCUUGCUCUGAUGCAUUUUUUCAUGGAAGACAGUUGGGAUUUACAGGCCAGAUCAUGUAGUGAGAUAAGUUGUUCCAGCUCCCUUAUUGGAGCUAGGCUGAUUAAUACAAGCCUGGUCCAAUAUUUAUGAGGAAUUGUGGAUGGAAGGGCUUUUUUGAUUGUUUGUUACACUGAAAACCUGAAGGCUUUCAAAUAAAUUCUGUUUACCAUAAGGUAAAGAGAAUUUU
ensembl:lncRNA